rnacentral:rRNA from 1 species
UACGAAGGGGGCAAGCGUUGUUCGGAAUUACUGGGCGUAAAGCGUGCGUAGACGGUUACAUAAGUCGGGUGUGAAAGCCCCGGGCUCAACCUGGGAAUUGCAUUCGAGACUGCGUAGCUAGGGUGCGGAAGAGGGAAGCGGAAUUUCCGGUGUAGCGGUGAAAUGCGUAGAUAUCGGAAGGAACACCAGUGGCGAAAGCGGCUUCCUGGUCCAGCACCGACGUUCAGGCACGAAAGCGUGGGGAGCAAACAGG